GGCUUCCUGAUGCUUACCACAGGCUGUGUUCUUACCCUGACUGUAGAGAAAGAAGAAAUAAGAGUAAGCCUAUGCACUUUGGCCCUGGUCUGUAUUGUAUAUGGGCAAACAUGG
ensembl:snoRNA